GCCUGCAACAUAGCAUUAAUGCACCAUAUCACAUUAUAACUUCAUAGUUAAGCUCACUCGAGAUAGAGUGGUAUUGGGAUGGGUGACCACUCGUGAAGUCCUAGUGUUUUACAUGCC
rnacentral:rRNA from 1 species